GGAGGAUGAAAUAGAGGAGAACGACCGCAUUGAUUUUUCCACGGGCAUAUUAGAAUGUAUCUGCAAUCCCUUAUCGUUUUUCAAGGGGAGGAGUCUUCGGAGGCAGACAUGAUGAGUAAAUUGUCUUGCGGGAUAAUGCAGACGUGGAGUCAGGAAAAAUUGAAUUGAUCUCUAUGCAUUUUGGUUAAGGGUAAAAAAACUAAAUCGAUGGCUCCAAGAGAAUGCUUUCACUCUUUUGAUGAACUCAAGUGCACAGAGGUCGAGGACCAGUUUCCUGGAAACAGGAAUGCAGUUUGCAUGUGGAUUUACUCUGCUUCGAGGAUUUGCUAACUGUCCAUUCGUUGAGAGGAAGAUGCAGGGAAACAGAUGCAGAAGAAUCAGUGAUGGAGACCAAUAACUACUAUUCUCAGAACUUGCCAUUGACUAUAGGUUUUCUAUGGUCUCCAGGACCCGACACUGAGGUCAAUUCUACAAGCUUGAAUAAUUCAUAAGUUCCUCCACGAACCACAUCUUCAGAUGUUUCCAGAAGUUCAUGCUCAAUUCUCUAAGCAAAAUGUGACUGAUUCUAGCAAUGGAGAGAUGGAUGAAUUCACAAUGUGAUCGAGUUUGGGAAUCUGUGAAAUUGCCAGAAGUAAUGGAGUUUGCUCUGAGGACAUGUUCCCCCUCUCCCAGGGUCCAUCACAAGAGAAACUUUAUGUGGAUUUGUCCGAGGUAAUUAAUUCCAUUUUGUGAAAACCCAUUUGUGUGCCACAUCGAUUUCCGAUACAUAUGAUACUUUUCUCAAAGGUGCGCAAUAUCGGACCAGGUCAAGCUUUAGGUAUUCGAUGUGGAGGAGACCUCUAGUCCUAUGUGGUACCGAUUGAGUUCCCGGGAAAUGGAUUUUUGGACUUCACUGGAUAAAGCAGGCUUCCGAGGGACUAGUUUUCAGGGUUGGUUAUGCUGAAGCUAUGGUGGAAUGGUUUCCAUACGCAAUAAAAUGAAGAGCUAGGAAUGACUUGCUGCAUAAUUAAGUUGCUCCUCCUGUUGAUGUUGGGAUGAAGUCCCUUAUGUUUGCAGUAAGAUUGAGCAUGGAAGGGUGCAUAAGCUGCUGCAGCAAAAGUCGACUCUGAUUUGGCAUUUGCCGAGGGCAUUGGUAUGCUUGGCCUUUAAUAACUAGUCUUGUGACUGUUUUGGAUAUUUGGGCAGUCAGUGUUCACGUUCUAGUUGGAGCUAAGGAUGUUGCUUGAGUAGUGUGCUAAUGAUAUUAUUAGGUUGAUAAAUUAUAUUGGGUGGACAAUUUGAUGGAGAUCUUUGAUUAAUCAACUUUGAGGAUGGCAAGUUUUUUUUUGUUUGUUUGUU